GGCAUCAGGUGGCAGACACAGGGACUCAAGACCAAGGGACUCAUUCCAUCUGCAGCCGCCAGAUUCUUCCUAAUCAGAGGAAUUCUGCACCUGUCCUCUCAAGCCGCCAGAGCUGGGACUCCAGCUCAGUGGUUGGCCAGGUGGGACACAGCCAGGAGGCCAGGGGCUGACCCUACACCGCUUUUUUGAGCUGUUAAAUGCUACCGCAGGAGCAGCUGCAGCAGUGGUGAAGAAUGGGAAUGGAAAGAGAAAGACGGAAGAACCCCAAGGGGAAGGGAAAC